rnacentral:misc_RNA from 1 species
UCUCUUCUACCCAUCUUUCUCUUCCAAUCACCCUGUCCAGCUCUUCUGUCGCCUUAUCGAAAAUCUCCGGCUUCUUCAAGAGCUCGGAAACUGCCCACUCUACUGUCACUGCCGAGCUCUCAGUUUCCCCGGCAAUCAUAUCCUGUGUAAAUCCCUUGACUCCAUUUCUUUCAAGCCUAACCUCAAGAUUAGGAUCAUCAGCGAGCUGCAAAAGAACAUCAACCAUAUCCUUAGCCACAUAGUUUUCAACCCCUUUUCUCCUGGCAUCAUGUUCAUCCAAAACAUGCUCCAA